rnacentral:rRNA from 1 species
UACGUAGGGAGCGAGCGUUGUCCGGAUUUAUUGGGCAUAAAGAGCGCGUAGGCGGCUUGGUAAGCCGGAUGUGAAACCCCCGAGCUCAACUCGGGGCGGCCAUUCGGAACUGCCAUGGCUAGAGUCUGGUAGGGGAACACGGAAUACCUGGUGUAGCGGUGAAAUGCUUAGAUAUCAGGUGGAACACCAGUGGCGAAGGCGGUGUUCUGGGCCAGUACUGACGCUGAGGCGCGAAAGCGUGGGGAGCGAACAGG